UACGGAGGGUGCAAGCGUUAUCCGGAUUCACUGGGUUUAAAGGGUGCGUAGGUGGGUUGGUAAGUCAGUGGUGAAAUCUCCGAGCUUAACUUGGAAACUGCCAUUGAUACUAUUAGUCUUGAAUAUUGUGGAGGUCAGCGGAAUAUGUCAUGUAGCGGUGAAAUGCUUAGAGAUGACAUAGAACACCAAUUGCGAAGGCAGCUGGCUACACAUAUAUUGACACUGAGGCACGAAAGCGUGGGGAGCAAACAGG
rnacentral:rRNA from 1 species